ACUACAGGCCAAGGAUAUUCAUCAGUUGGUCAUAUUCAUCUAAACACCUGUUCAUCUUUGCACUACGGGCCAAAGAUAUUCAUCAGAAAUCAUUCAUCUUUGCACUACAGGCCAAAGAUAUUCCAUAAUAUCAUCAUUUAAGACUGAGGAUGAUGAAAAAUAUUUUUAAAGAAACGAAUCCAGUGAAACAAAAUGACAAGGAUUAAGGAUUAAGGAUU
rnacentral:lncRNA from 1 species